AUGUUUUUUUCACUAGCUUGUCUACAGUCUAUAAAUCCCAAGAUUGACAUUAUCUUUCUGUUGUUUGUGCUUCAUUUUAUUCUUUUUGUCGGAAAUAUUGAACCAAACCCUGGUCCAGAUGAAAAUAACAUAUCGAGUACACCCUCUAGUGUCAGAUUUAGUGAAAUCGAUAAAUCCAUAUCAAUAUGUAAUUUAAAUAUCCGUAGUAUUAGAAACAAAUUAGAAUUCUUAAAUAAUUUCACUGACGAAUUUGAUGUCCUGGCUGUAACAGAAACACAUUUAGAUCCUAGUGUAUCUGAAGAUCAAUUAAAACUAGAUUCCUUCAAUAACAUUAUAAGGAAAGAUCGAAACAACUUUGGUGGUGGAUUAAUGAUAUAUGUGAAAGAUGAUAUCGGUAUCGUCCGAAAAAGCGAACUAGAAAAUCCAUUUGAUGAAACACUUUGGGUUGAAAUACGAGCCAAAGGUCAAAACUUCCUUCUUUGUCACUCAUAUCGUCCACCGAAUGCGGACACUGACUUCUGGGCACGAUUAAAUCAUGCAAUAGAAACUGCCUUUCAAUUUAACGAAAAUAUAGUGAUUACUGGUGAUCUAAAUUCUGAUCUCUUUAAUGUCAAUAAUAAUAAACUUAUUGACACUAUGGACUUGUUCAAUCUAAGAAAUGUAAUUGAUAAAGCAACAAGAGUUACUGAUAAAAGUAGUACACUCUUAGAUCCCAUAAUAAUAAGUGACUGUAUGUCAUAUUAUCUAUCAGAUGUUUUAGAUAUUCCCUCAAAUAUUAGUGAUCACAAUGCAGCAGUAAUAUUUCUUGAGUGUCCCUCAUCAAUGUCACGUACUUUUAAAAGAGAAGUGUGGAUAUAUGAUAAAAUGGAUAAAGAUAAAUUUUUGAAAAUAAUGAAUGAAACAGAUUGGUAUGCACUUCUUCCCGAUGACAAGGAUGUUAAUGAAUUAUGUGAAAUAUUUACUGUAACUUUUCUGAACAUUGCAAGGGAGUGCAUACCUACUAAACAAGUAACUAUACGAAAAAACGACAAACCAUGGUUCAAUAGCGAGCUUAGGAGAGAAAUACGGACUAGAGAUCGAUUACGAAAAAAGGCUUUUAAAUCUAAAAAACAAUCUGAUAUUUUGAAGUACAAGCGACAGAGAAAUAGGGUCAAUAAUAUGAAAAAAGUUGCUAAAGAAAAAUUUGAAAGUAAUUUAGACCACAUCAUUCUAAAUAAUGUAUCGAAUACAAAAACUUAUUGGAAAAUUAUGAAAAUGUUAAUCAAAUCUAACAAUGGAUCAAAUAACAUUCCCCCACUCCAAAAUAUUAUAAAUACCGAAAAAAUAGACGAAAUAGCAUAUAAAGAUGAAGAAAAAUGUGAGCUUUUGAACAAGUAUUUUAAUUUAAUCUCCAAAUUAAAUGAAGAAAAUAUCAACUUACCACAAUUUGAAACUAAAUCUAACAAUAAAAUUUGUGACAUACAUGUCACUAUUCAAGAAAUUAUAGAUAUGAUUAAUAUUCUUGAUCCAAAUAAAGCCUCGGGACCAGAUGUGAUUAGCCACAGGAUGCUCAAGAUCUGUCCAGAUAAACCCUUCCGGAGCACCUGAGAUCACCCCUAGUUUUUGGUAGGGUUCGUGUUGUUUAUUCUUGUUCUGGCAACUCUUCUGCCGUAAAUGUGGACUGCGCUCCAUAGGUACUAUUUGCUAAUUAUCUCCCUUUAUUAUUGUGAACACACGGCAUGUAACGCAAAUCAAACUUUUACAUUCACAGGCGCUUGGGUCUAGGAUACAGAUUUAUUUUUUUUUUUUUUUUUUUUUUUUUUUAUUAAAAUAUUCAAUUUUCUAUAUUUAUAAUACAUAUUUAUCACUUCUGUGCAUGUCUCACCUAGUUUCGAGUGAUUUAAACGACCCAGAGAAAAUACCCAAUUUUUUGUUUCUUAGUAUGGAUAGUAAAAUUGGGUAUUUUCUCUGGGUCGUUUAAAUCACUCGAAACUAGGUGAGACAUGCACAGAAGUGAUAAAUAUGUAUUAUAAAUAUAGAAAAUUGAAUAUUUUAAUAAAAAAAAAAAAAAAAAAAAAUCUGUAUCCUAGACCCAAGCGCCUGUGUUUGGUUCCUGUGGAUAACUAUAGUGUAUGUAUGACUUAAUUACUUUAUUUUUUAGAUAAUCUUAUGUUGCAGAACACUUACCUUUGAUGAUUCAGUUGUUUUUAUUGAUAAUUUCAGUAAUUUGUGACAAAUUGAGCCUUCGCUCUUGAUAAUUGUUUAAGUGUGUUAAAUUCAUAAUUUUUGUAUGAAGUAAGCCCGUUUUUUAUCUUAAUUAACUUUCCCUUGGUCUAUAUUAUAAAUCUAAGCUUUUUGAGAAAUUUAUAUCAUUUUUGUACAAGGGUUAUGCUCGAAAAUUUUCUGUGUAUGGAAUGCAAAAGCUGUCAUAAUUGAAAUUGUGUAAAAUUUUGUAUUUCUUGUAAAACUCGAUUUUUCUGUUAAAACAAGUGCUUGAAUGCGUGUUUCUUUGUAUUUUGUAGCUUUUUACCUGCAUUACGUCCAAUAAAGAAAUUAUUUGAAGACCCGUCUUAUUUAAUCCUUUGGAUCUAAUCUGGUAGAACUAUCUGUGGUGACAGAAUAGUAAAAAGACUAUAUCAUCAACUUGAUAAUAGAGAGCUACAUGUCACUCACAUUCCAUGAUGGAUAAAGGUUUUGAAUCAUUACGUAUACGAAAACUGACAGAAAAGGCAGCUGUAGAAUUUGAAGCUACAAAUGAUGGUUUUGUCACUGAUUUACACAGAAAGUGGACCACAAUAAAAAAUGUGAUUUCAAGCUUUAGUUCGUCAAUCACGACAGUAGAAUAUAUUGAAAAUAUUGAAAAAGACAUUUCAAAACUUUAUGCUGAACUAUGUUCAACAUCCUCAUCUUACAUGCUAUUUCUUACGAACAUUCGAACGGAGGACAGCAUUCGAUUAUAUCAUGAACAUUUAGAAGCGAUGUCUAAAUGCAAGAAAACGGUAGAGGAGACCAUCAAACAUAUAGACGAUGCACGCCAAAGGGCAUUAGAAGUCGCCUCACAACGGACCAAGGGUUCGUCACGACACUCUCAAGUUUUAAAUGCUUCGUCUGCACUUUCUAGGAAACGAGCAAAAGCCGAAGCAGCUAAGGCAAAAUUGGUUUUUGCAGAGCAAGAAAUCAUCCUGAAGAAAGAACAAGCUGCUCUCGAAGAGCAAGAAAUGACUAUAAAGGCAGCAUCCUCACGCAAAAUGUUAGAGCUGGAAGCUGAUUUGAAACUUCUAGCUAGCCGUCAAGACUUAGCCGUGGCGGAAGCGGAAGCAGAAGUCUAUGAGUCAGGCAGUGUUUUAAAUGGGCCAUCAUUGCGUACUCUUGAAAAACUUGACCAGCUAAAACUGAUUAAUCCAAUCGAGAGGACAAAUCAAUACGUUAAAGACCAAAUAAAUUUUAUUAACGCCGAUAAUCAACCAAUGUCAAAACCUACUGCUCCACUUAAUGUUAAUGCGCAAACUUUUAGUCCUGUAGCGCAAGAUAACAACAUUCAGAUAUCUAAUCCGCCAUUUCAAAACUUGAGUGUGCAAAAUGAUCAAAUUCAAGAUUUGACGAAGUUUCUACUUAAGAAAGACAUGCUAAUUUCUAGACUGUCCUGUUUUAAUGAUCGACCGGAAACUUAUCCAUUCUGGAAGGCUCAAUUCAAAGGAAUUAUGCAAGAACUAUCAACAACAGACAUUGAAGAGUUAGAUUUAUUAUCAAAGUGGUUAGGACCGCAAUCUUACAAGUACGCUCUAAGCAUUCGUUCAGCUAAUACGUAUAACCCUAAACGAGCAUUGCAGCAAAUUUGGGAAAGGCUUGAUGAACUAUACGGGAGUCCGGAAUUGUUAGAAUCCGUGCUAAAAACAAAGCUCUCAAAAUUUCCACGUCUUACCAACAAGGAAAAUAUCAAACUUUACGAGCUGCUGGAUAUUUUAUGUGAAAUUGAAUCGCUUAUGACCGAUCCAAAAUAUCAGUCCCUGCUCGGAUAUUACAACUCGUCGUCAGGUGUCCUACCAAUUAUUGGCAAACUGCCCUACAAUCUACAAGAGAAGUGGACAAGCCAUGCUCAUAGAUAUAAAACAAAGCAUCAUGUAACAUUUCCACCAUUCACUUGCCUUGUAGAAUUCAUGCGCGACAUGACAAAGAUGAAAAAUGAUCCUGGUUUUUCAUAUCCAAAUGAGUCAUCGAGUACUCCAACAACUGUAAAGGAAAAGGACAAAUUUCCUCGUAACAAUCAUAGUCGACCUCAAAUCGCAGUUAACAAAACCGAAGUUAAAUCUGAAAGAAAUCAAGUCAGUAAAACAUGUCCACUGCAUAACACGAAUCAUAGUCUCAACAAUUGUCGCGGAUUCAAAGAAAAAUCUUUUGAGGACCGCAAGAAGUUCUUGCGUGAACAUAACAUUUGUUUUAAAUGCUGUAAUUCAGAUCAACAUAAGUCCAAGGACUGUAAAGAAAAAGUUCCCUGUGAAGCAUGUGGAAGCGAAUCACAUGCAUCAGCAAUGCACCUUGGGUUUACAGAACAUAAAUCCAGAGUCAAUCACGGUGAGGAGAAGAAUAUACCAGAGCAGGACGCGGUAACAAAAUGUACGCAGAUAUGCAAACAACAAUUUUCAGGAAAAUCUUGCGCAAAGAUAGUUCAAGUUAAAAUUCACAAAUCAGACUCGCCAAACAAAACACUAACAUCUUAUGCGAUUUUAGACGAUCAAAGCAACAAGACCUUGGUGAACUCCAGUAUUCUGGAUACUUUGGAUAUAACUUGUGAUGCUACAGAGUAUAGACUUACUUCGUGCGCAGGUGUCAUAAAAACAUCAGGAAGGCAAACUGACGGCCUUGUUGUAACAUCGUUGGAUGGAACUGUUAGCCUUACUUUACCUACCGUUAUUGAAUGUGAUCGUAUUCCUCAAAUUCGUGACGAAAUUCCAACGCCAGAAGUGGCCAAAUACUAUCCUCAUUUAAAGGAAUUAGUGAAAUACUUACCAGAAAUCAACGACAAUAUUCCUAUCUCUAUUCUAAUCGGAAGAGACUUACCAGAGGCGCACCACGUUUUAGAACAAUGCACUGGUGUGAGAAAUUCUCCAUACGCUCAGAGACUGCCACUAGGCUGGGUAGUCGUAGGUGAGUCUUGCCUACACAAAGUUCACCCACCAAAGAACAAUGUAAUCGUUAAUAAGACUUUCGUAUUGCCAAAUGGAAGGACUUCCAUCUGCGAACCUUGCCCGAACGACAUCAAUAUUCAGCGAUUGGAUAUGUUAAACGGACAAUCUAAGUCAGACUCACAAGAAACUCUCGACAAUUCAAUAUUCUUAAAAAAGAAAGAUGAUGAUACUGUAGGACUAUCAAUGGAAGAUAAAGAAUUUCUUAAGGUUAUGGAUGAACAUGUUCAUCAGAAUUCCGAUGGUAACUGGGAAGCCCCAUUACCAUUUCGUUACCCUAGGCAACGCCUACCAAACAACAGAUCACAUGCAUUUAAGAGAGCAAUGAACUUAGAUGUCAGUCUUCGAAGAGACGAGAAGAAAAAGGAACAUUUCUUCCAGUUUAUGGAGAAAGUAUUAGAGCGUAAACAUGCUGAGAUUGCACCGCCUUUAAGCCAAGAAGAGGAGCGGUGGUACUUACCUAUUUUUGGGGUUUAUCACCCACGUAAACCGGACAAAAUUAGAGCAGUCUUCGACUCUUCAGCUAAAUUUGCAAAUAUUUCUCUUAAUGAUGUACUUCUGCCCGGACCAGAUCUGAAUAAUAAACUUCUUGGUGUAUUGUUAAGAUUCCGGAAGGAACUUGUAGCCGUCACAGCAGAUAUUGAGUCUAUGUUUUAUUGCUUCGUCGUUAAUCAGGAACACAGACAAUACCUUCGUUUCUUCUGGUAUGAAAACAAUGACUUUGAAAAGAAUUUGGUUGAGUACCAAAUGAGAGUGCACGUAUUUGGAAAUUGCCCGUCUCCAGCAGUUGCUUCAUACUGCCUUAGAAAAGCAGCCUCAGUAAACAAAACUACAAACAUAUCAGAUAUUGUUGAAUUUGUUAAUAGAAAUUUCUAUGUAGACGAUGGUUUGGUCUCACUUGCAACACCGAGAGAAGCUAUCGAUUUACUUCAGCGAACUCGUGAAUCACUUCAAACAGGAGGUAAUCUCCGCCUCCACAAAAUUGCAUCUAAUAGCAAGGAAGUUAUGGACGCUUUUGAACAACAAGACCGUGCUAAUAACUUCAAAGAUAUUGAUUUGUGUGUUGACGAACUGCCUACUCAUCAAAGUUUAGGUCUUAAUUGGGAGUUAGAAACUGACACAUUCACAUACAAAGUUUCUCCAGAAGAGAAACCUUUCAGCAGACGAGGAUUAUUAUCCAUCGUAAACGGGAUAUUCGACCCUAUGGGAUUUGUUGCUCCUAUUGUUGUUACAGGGAAGUUGCUACUCCGAGAAAUCGCAAAUGGAUCAUACAACUGGGAUGACCCACUUCCUAGACAUCUGUUUGCAAAGUGGUCGGACUGGAAACAAUCACUUAUAUCACUAGAGGGCUUGCAUAUACCCCGAUGUUAUUCGCCAACUUCUUCAUGUAAUGCUGCGGAAAGGGAGCUCCACAUAUUUUCUGACGCCUCGGAACAGGCAAUUGCAUCAGUGGCUUACUUAAGGACCAAAGAUAUGGAUAAUAAUUAUCAUGUCGGAUUCGUUCUUGGUAAGGCAAAGGUGGCCCCGACCCACGGCCAUACAAUCCCAAGACUCGAGUUGUGUGCCGCCGUACUGGCAGUGCAAGUUUCAGAAAUUAUUCUAGACGAACUAGAUAUCCAAGUCAAUCAAACUCGCUUUUACACUGACAGUCAAGUAGUUUUAGGCUAUAUACAUAACCAAGGCAAGCGUUUCUACAAGUACGUCGAAAACCGCGUUGAGAGAAUUCGAAAAUCUACUCAACCAAUUCAAUGGUCACACGUCCGAACCAAUUUCAAUCCAGCAGACUCAGCUACAAGAACUGUGUGUGCCGAAACCUUUCAUAACAGCAUGUGGAUUCUUGGACCUCCUCAACUUCGUGAUUUUGAAAUAGGAGAUUUGGAUGGAAAAUAUCCAUUGCUGGAUCCCGAUAAUGACUCAGAAAUCAGACAAAAUGCUAACGUCAAAACGUUGAAAUCCGGCAUAGAGAACCGUGCCAAGGUUUUUAAUUUCAGUCAUAGGACAGAAAGGUUUUCCAAGUGGAACUCUCUGGUUCAAUCAAUUAACCGCUUAAAAAUGCUAGCAAGGAAAUUUCAUCAAAAUGACAAAUCCGACUUAAACACAGUGUCGACAACGCUUAUGUCAGAACAGAUGAUCAUUCUAAAUGUGCAAAAAGAAGCUUUCUUUUCGGAAAUAGAGUGUAUUAAAAACAGGAAACCCUUUCCAAGAAACAGCAGCAUUGGCAAUUUGAAUCCGUUUAUCGACCAAAGUGGUCUUUUGAGAGUCGGUGGUCGCCUUAAGAGAGCCGAAAUAGAACUUUCAGAAAGACAUCCAAUCAUUUUGCCGAAAAACCAUCACGUCUCUAUUCUUUUGAUUCGCCAUCUUCAUGAAUCUGUGAAACACCAGGGAAGGCACUUUACAGCUGGAGCUCUUCGUACAGCUGGAUACUGGAUUGUAGGAGAAAAACGUCUAAUCGCAUCUAUCAUCUACAAGUGUUUUCGAUGUAGGAAAUUACGUGGAAAAUAUCUACAGCAGUUAAUGUCUGAUCUUCCUUACGAUAGACUACAAUCUACUCCACCGUUCACAUUUAUUGGCAUUGAUACAUUUGGUCCAUGGAACAUUUUGACACGUAAAACCAGAGGUGGUCAAGCGAACAGUAAACGCUGGGCAGUGCUUUUUACCUGCCUCUACACUCGAGCUAUACACAUCGAGGUGAUUGAAGAACUCUCAUCAUCUUCUUUCAUUAACUGCCUAAGACGAUUCAUUUCUCUGAGAGGAGACGUACAGGAAAUUCGAUCUGACCGUGGCACAAAUUUUGUGGGUGCGACAGAUCAUUUGAAUACAAAUGUCGUUAACGUUGAGGACACAGCUAUCAAGCAUUUCUUGGACAAUAGUAAAGUAACUUGGAUCUUUAACCCCCCACACUCCUCACACAUGGGAGGAGUGUGGGAACGUAUGAUCGGUGUCACUCGCCGGAUCCUGGAUUCCAUGAUGAUGGACAUCCAAUCAAGGCAUCUGACUCACGAAGUCUUCAUAACAUUAAUGGCUGAAGUAUGUGCAAUUGUUAACUCAAGACCGAUCGUUCCCGUAUCAACUGAUCCGGACUCUCCAACCAUUUUAAGUCCAGCUUCUUUGAUAACUCAAAAGACGAAUCAAAUUCAGUCCAGCUUUGGACCCUAUGACAUUAAAGAUCUUUAUAAAUCACAGUGGCGUUGUGUACAACAUCUCGCAAACAUAUUUUGGCAAAAAUGGAGAAAGGAAUAUCUCCAGCAACAACAAGUGCGUCGUAAGUGGCAAAAUGUAACACCUGAUCUUACGGAAGGUGAUAUCGUUUUAAUGAAAGACCAGAGUGUCUCGAGAUGCGAGUGGCCAAUUGGAAUAAUAAUUAGCGCAAUUAAAAGUUUUGAUAACAAAGUUCGAAAAGCCGAGGUCAGGAUUUUCAGGGAGGGAAAGCGUUUGACGUAUACAAGACCAAUAUCUGAGUUAGUUCUGCUACUCCAUGAGGAAUAAACAGAAGACAUGUUGAACUUGUUCAUGUUUUCAUUGUUAAUAUGUAUGACACAUCAGUACAUUUCAGAAAGAAUCAUUUAAAUUUGAUGAUGUAUGUUUUUUUUUUUUUUUUUUAUUAUUUAGUGAUAUAAAAGUAUAUAUAUCAGGUGAGGAGUGUUCUGUCAACUCUUCUGUCGUAAAUGUGGACUGCGCUCCAUAGGUACUAUUUGCUAAUUAUCUCCCUUUAUUAUUGUGAACACACGGCAUGUAACGCAAAUCAAACUUUUACAUUUUGGUUCCUGUGGAUAACUAUAGUGUAUGUAUGACUUAAUUACUUUAUUUUUUAGAUAAUCUUAUGUUGCAGAACACUUACCUUUGAUGAUUCAGUUGUUUUUAUUGAUAAUUUCAGUAAUUUGUGACAAAUCGAGCCUUCGCUCUUGAUAAUUGUUUAAGUGUGUUAAAUUCAUAAUUUUUGUAUGAAGUAAGCCCGUUUUUUAU
rnacentral:sRNA from 1 species